CACGUAGGCACCAAGCGUUGUCCGGAUUUAUUGGGCGUAAAGAGCUCGUAGGCGGUCUGUCGCGUCGGCUGUGAAAACUCGGGGCUCAACCCCGAGCCUGCAGUCGAUACGGGCAGACUAGAGUGCUGUAGGGGAGACUGGAAUUCCUGGUGUAGCGGUGAAAUGCGCAGAUAUCAGGAGGAACACCGGUGGCGAAGGCGGGUCUCUGGGCAGUAACUGACGCUGAGGAGCGAAAGCGUGGGGAGCGAACAGG
rnacentral:rRNA from 1 species